GGCAAAGCCAAGAUGGUCUGCAAUU
rnacentral:piRNA from 1 species